GUUCUUGUGCCAGGCUUACAGCCCGCUUCUCCUUCUCUCUUCUUCACCUCCCGCUUCUCCUUCUCUCUCCUCCACCUCAGUAUUUAGCCAGCUUACCGUCUGCUAUUAUAUUAGUUCGUGUGUAGCUGCAGCUAGCUAGCAUUGACUGAAACACACCGAUCAUUGGAUGAUUUUGGAGCAGAUGAAUGCGUGAGAAUGGAUCGAUCGACGGAUGAUGUUG
rnacentral:lncRNA from 1 species